rnacentral:lncRNA from 1 species
CAGGCUCCGGGACUCAGAUGGGCCCCUCCUUCCCGGCUUCUCACUCUACUCCCUCUCCUGGACUAUUAGAGGUGGACAGGUGUUGGGAAAAUGUCCUGCUGGUUACUUCUGCCCACCGGGGGCCUCUGAAGUGAGAACGUCAGGUCCCAGGCAGCCCCAGACACCGUGUCCCCAGAGACAGCUGUGCGCGGAGCAGUGUCCGCCAGGAUUUUACUGCCCUGAGGGCAGUGGAGAGCCCAUUCCUUGUCCACCUCACACACUGGUGGCUGACCCUGGAGCCAAGCAGAAAGAGGACUGUGGGCCUUGCCCCCCUGGGCACUGGUGCAAAGCAGGCACCCUGGCCACUCAGGCCUGCCCCUCUGGCCACUACUGUCCUGGAGGAAGUGAGACCCACCUGGGGGCCCCCCAGGCCUGCCCUGAGCAUACCUACCUGGCAGCUGAAGGAGGCCAGAGUCAGGCGGAGUGCCUUCCCUGCCCCGCCGGGUACCACUGCCCGUGGCCAGGUCUCUCUUCCUUUGAAGAUCACCCAUGUCCUCCUGGCCACUGGUGUCCAGGUGACCAGGGUGCCUUUCUCUGCCCACCUGGCACCUUUCGGUCAGAGCCGGGGGCAUCAGCACAGGAAGACUGUGAACUCUGCCCUCCCGGCUACCGCUGCCCAGACCCUGAGCUUCAGGCCCGUGCAAAUGUGUUUCCCAUCCCCUGCCGAGCCGGAUCUGAGUGCCCAGCAGCUGUGUCUUUCCCAAUUACUGCCCCCCGGGCAGCGCCCAACCCCGUGCCUGCCCUGGGGGCUCCGAAGCCCUGAAUGGGACCGGCCUCAGGGUCUCUGAGGAGAUGUGCUGCCGCCUCUGUGAAGCGGGCACCUACCACAGCCGGACCCUGGAUGCCCUACC